GGGGGAAGCCAGCCGACAGCUGCGAGCAGAAGUCACUGCCGGGCCUGCAGGGAGUCCCUAGCUGCCAUCAUGUGCCGUUAAUGUGAGGAACUGGCUGGGUUUCCAUCCUGGACUGGAGUGGACCUGAUGGCAGCCAAGAAACCACAGCUUGGACUCAGCUACAAUCAACAGCCUUUUGUCCUACUGGUCUGGUAGGAAGGCUCGCAGCCUGUCCUCCCCUCCAUGCACCUCACUACACUGAUUGCCCAACCUGAUCGCACUUCCCCUUCCCAUGGAUAAUAAAACUGGACAUUUUCAACUGAACUCUCACUAAACCCUCGUGGGUUGUUGGCAUCGGUUUUUGACUGUGUAUGUAAUCACCAGGGGUUAAUUUAUUUACCUGGACGGCUUAUUUUGAGGGCUUUGUGUUGCUGUCAAUGAACAACCCUGAACCGUGAUCAAGCGCUUUAUUCAAACUUCGACCGGUCAACUGCUGCAGUAUUGUAAAUAUUUUCUUUAUGUUAAUUAUUUUGUGUUUUUGGGAUAUUUCUUUUGUAUAAUUUGUUCACUUGUGUCAUUUCAAUACACGGUGUGGAUUCCACCAACCUUGAAUUACAGUCUCUGCUUUUAAUUACACACCACCAGCUCCUGUAGACGUGCCCAGUCUUCUGAACUGCCCAAAUUUAUUUUCUCUUAUUCUUUCUAAUGGCGUGCAUUAACAACGCACCCGUUACAUCUUGGCGAGCCAGUUAACCAGGAGCUGGUUUGUGUUGUAAUUAAGUAAAAUAAAACAAAAAACCCAAACUAAAGCACAUUCAACUUCACCAGUUCAAUUUUCAAAAUGGAAGUUUUUGAGGAACUUGGGAUAAAAAUUCCAAAUGCUGUUCUAGUUGAUGGAGCAGUGGAACAUCAUUCAUCUGAAGUUAUUGAUUUUC